rnacentral:rRNA from 1 species
UGCUUCCUACGGGGGGCAGCAGUAGGGAAUUUUCGUCAAUGGGCGCAAGCCUGAACGAGCGAUGCCGCGUGAGUGAAGAAGGCCUUCGGGUCGUAAAGCUCUGUUGCGGGGGAAAAAAGGCAGCAUCAGGAAAUGGGUGCUGACUGAUGGUGCCCCGCCAGAAAGUCACGGCUAACUACGUGCCAGCAGCCGCGGUAAUACGUAGGGGGCGAGCGUUAUCCGGAAUGAUUGGGCGUAAAGGGUGCGCAGGCGGUGCUGCAAGUCUGGAGUGAAACGCAGGAGCUCAACGCA